rnacentral:lncRNA from 1 species
UGGCACAGAGGAAAACAUACUGGCACCAAACAGAGGAAAACAUACUGGCACCAAACAGAGGAAAACAUACUGGCACAGAGGAAAACAUACUGGCACCAAACAGAGGAAAACAUACAGGCACAGAGGAAAACAUACUGGCACCAAACAGAGGAAAACAUACUGGCACAGAGGAAAACAUACAGGCACAGAGGAAAACAUACUGGCACCAAACAGAGGAAAACAUACUGGCACAGAGGAAAACAUACUGGCACCAAACAGAGGAAAACAUACAGGCACAGAGGAAAACAUACUGGCACCAAACAGAGGAAAAAUACUGGCACAGAGGAAAACAUACUGGCACCAAACAGAGGAAAACAUACUGGCACAGAGGAAAACAUACUGGCACCAAACAGAGGAAAACAUACAGGCACCAAACAGAGGAAAACAUACUGGCACAGAGGAAAACAUACUGGCACAGAGGAAAACAUACUUGCACAGAGGAAAACAUACUGGCACCAAACAGAGGAAAACAUACUGGCACCAAACAGAGGAAAACAUACUGGCACCAAACAGAGGAAAACAUACAGGCACCAAACAGAGGAAAACAUACUGGCACAGAGAAAAACAUACUGGCACAGAGGAAAACAUACUGGCACAGAGAAAAACAUACUGGCACAGAGAAAAACAUACUGGCACAGAGAAAAACAUACUGGCACAGAGGAAAACAUACUGGCACAGAGAAAAACAUACUGGCACCAAACAGAGGAAAACAUACUGGCACAGAGGAAAACAUACUGGCACCAAACAGAGGAAAACAUACAGGCACCAAACAGAGGAAAACAUACUGGCACCAAACAGAGGAAAACAUACUGGCACCAAACAGAGGAAAACAUACUGGCACAGAAGAAAACAUACUGGCACAGAGAAUAACAUACUGGCACAGAGGAAAACAUACUGGCACCAAACAGAGGAAAACAUACUGGCACAGAGGAAAACAUACUGGCACCAAACAGAGGAAAACAUACUGGCACAGAGGAAAACAUACAGGCACCAAACAGAGGAAAACAUACAGGCACAGAGGAAAACAUAC